GCGAGUCGAAUGUAGCAAUACAUGGCGUACUGCUCAGUAACACGUGGAUAACCUGCCCUUGAGACGGGGAUAAACCCGGGAAACUGGGUAUAAUACCCGAUAGAUCUCGGCUGCUGGAAUGCACCGAGUUCUAAAGCUCCGGCGCUCAAGGAUGGAUCUGCGGCCUAUCAGGUAGUAGUGGGUGUAGCGUACCUACUAGCCUACGACGGGUACGGGUUGUGAGAGCAAGAGCCCGGAGAUGGAUUCUGAGACACGAAUCCAGGCCCUACGGGGUGCAGCAGGCGCGAAAACUUUACAAUGCUGGAAACAGCGAUAAGGGGACCUCGAGUGCCAGGUUACAAAUCUGGCUGUCGUGAUGCCUAAAAAGCAUUGCAUAGCAAGGGCCGGGCAAGACCGGUGCCAGCCGCCGCGGUAACACCGGCGGCUCGAGUGGUAACCGUUAUUAUUGGGUCUAAAGGGUCUGUAGCCGGCCGGAUAAGUCUCUUGGGAAAUCUGGCAGCUUAACUGUCAGGCUUUCAGGAGAUACUGUCUGGCUCGAGGCCGGGAGAGGUGAGAGGUACUUCAGGGGUAGGGGUGAAAUCUUGUAAUCCUUGAAGGACCACCAGUGGCGAAGGCGUCUCACCAGAACGGACCUGACGGCAAGGGACGAAAGCUAGGGGCACGAACCGGAUUAGAUACCCGGGUAGUCCUAGCCGUAAACGAUACUCGCUAGGUGUCGGCCACGGUGCGACCGUUGUCGGUGCCGUAGGGAAGCCGUGAAGCGAGCCACCUGGGAAGUACGGCCGCAAGGCUGAAACUUAAAGGAAUUGGCGGGGGAGCACCACAACGGGUGGAGC
rnacentral:rRNA from 1 species